rnacentral:rRNA from 1 species
UACAGAGGGUGCAAGCGUUGUUCGGAAUCAUUGGGCGUAAAGGGCGUGUAGGCGGUUUGUUAAGUCAUGUGUGAAAUCCCUCGGCUCAACCGGGGAACGACGCAUGAAACUGGCAAGCUAGAGUACCAAAGAGGGCGGUGGAAUUCCCGGUGUAGUGGUGAAAUGCGUAGAUAUCUGCAGGAACACCCGUGGCGAAAGCGGCGCGCUGGACCACUACUGACGCUGAGGAACGAAAGCUAGGGGAGCAAACAGG